AGUGAACGCUGGCGGUAGGCCUAACACAUGCAAGUCGAACGGCAGCACAGUAAGAGCUUGCUCUUACGGGUGGCGAGUGGCGGACGGGUGAGGAAUACAUCGGAAUCUACUUUUUCGUGGGGGAUAACGUAGGGAAACUUACGCUAAUACCGCAUACGACCUACGGGUGAAAGCAGGGGAUCUUCGGACCUUGUGCGAUUGAAUGAGCCGAUGUCGGAUUAGCUAGUUGGCGGGGUAAAGGCGCACCAAGGCGACGAUCCGUAGUUGGUCUGAGAGGAUCAUCAGCCACACUGUAUCUGAGACACGUUCCAGACUCCUGCGGGAGGCAGCAGUGGGGAAUAUUGGACAAUGGGCGCAAGCCUGAUCCAGCCAUACCGCGUAGGUGAAGAAGGCCUUCGGGUUGUAAAGCCCUUUUGUUGGUAAAGAAAAGCAGCACUUUAAUCCCCCGCUGUUCUGACGGUACCCAAAGAAUAAGCACCGGCUAACUUCGUG
rnacentral:rRNA from 1 species